AGGACUAGUUUAACAUAAAACAAAUGAUUUCGACUCAUUAAAUUUCAACCACUGAAGCCUGCUACA
rnacentral:tRNA from 1 species